rnacentral:rRNA from 1 species
CCUACGGGAGGCAGCAGUGGGGAAUUUUGGACAAUGGGCGAAAGCCUGAUCCAGCCAUUCCGCGUGAGUGAAGAAGGCCUUCGGGUUGUAAAGCUCUUUCGCAAGGGAAGAAAACUUAGUCUCUAACAUAGACUGAGGUUGACGGUACCUUGAUAAGAAGCACCGGCUAACUACGUGCCAGCAGCCGCGGUAAUACGUAGGGUGCGAGCGUUAAUCGGAAUUACUGGGCGUAAAGCGUGCGCAGGCGGUUUUGUAAGUCAGAUGUGAAAUCCCCGAGCUCAACUUGGGAACUGCGUUUGAAACUACAAGACUAGAAUAUGUCAGAGGGGGGUAGAAUUCCACGUGUAGCAGUGAAAUGCGUAGAGAUGUGGAGGAAUACCAAUGGCGAAGGCAGCCCCCUGGGAUAAUAUUGACGCUCAUGCACGAAAGCGUGGGGAGCAAACAGGAUUAGAUACCCUGGUAGUCCACGCCCUAAACGAUGUCUACUAGUUGUUGGUGGAGUAAAAUCCAUGAGUAACGCAGCUAACGCGUGAAGUAGACCGCCUGGGGAUACGGUCGCAAGAUUAAAACUUAAAGGAAUUGACGGCUGAGAGAGCGAGACGACGACGAGGGAGGAGG